UGUUCAGAAUCAGAAUGAGCCGCAACUUCGGGAUGAAAAUGCUCACAAUGACAAAUCUGUCCACGGAGUGCUUAAUCCAACUUACCAAGCUGGGUUACGACGCGACGCCGUUCAACCAGAUAUUGAAGCAGAACGCAAAAAGAGAGAUGAGAUUGAGGCUGGGAAAAGUUACUGUAGCCGACGUUUUGGCGGCGCAACCUGUGACGAAAAAUCUGCUCAAAUUUAUGCGCGCUUCGAUAAAAAUGAUUGGCGUAUCCAACCUGCAGAGUUUUAUCGCUUCCAUGACGCAGAAGUUAAC
rnacentral:rRNA from 1 species